AUAAGUUAGUUGCCAUUGUAUGUAGGCUAAGCUCUUCUCACUCACCUAUUCCUUUCCAUCUCUCUCCCUCUUUCCACCUUCCCUUCCCUUACAUUAGUCAGUAACUUGUUUCUAUGUAAAUACUUAUUUUCUGUAUAAUAAAAUAAAUAAUUUCAUCAAGCAGUGUCCUGAUUUCCUAAGAUAAAGGUAAUAUUAGUGAGGAAACAGCAACCAAAAGUUAGCAGAUUCUACAUUUGGCACCCCAUACGGGACGUGGAUAAAUCACUAAUUCCACGUUGAACUACAGCUGAAUUUGCUAAACUUAAGUACUGGAGCUGCAAGAACUCUUUGUGAAUAGAGGCCGAACCAGACCUGUGUGGGAAGUGUGCAGAUCUGCAAGGCACUGUGUAGUGAGAAAGCUGCAAGUACCGUUGACCCACUCACAGAAGAAACUAUAAAGCGAGCAGUACAACGUUAUGAUCAUAAGUGAUUUAAUGAUCAAAGAGGGGAAUGUUGUAUUUUAUGAACACACCUAACUUUAAUAUCAGACUGUUAUUUCCAUGGACAUUAUUGGAUAUUGAAAGGCUAAGGGACAUUUAUCUACAACAUCAAGGACUUAAACGGUUAAAUGCAGAUUAAGAACAGCAUUGGUGAUUCUGACCUACAGUUACCAGCUUGUUUCAGUACAGAGGUGACAAGACAAGUUUGGGGAAAAACCAGUUGGAGAUCUGAGCAAAUUCUCUAUCAAAAUAAUGCCUCAAAAGAAGAAAAUAAUUCACAAACACAUUUUACAACCCUUACAAACAGUUAGCAUCUCACAGGUAGUGUCAUAAACUACAAGGCUCUGAUUAAAUCUCUGUUCCUAUCAUCAAUAGCCUAAGGAAAGAAUGAAUGACUAUAUAAGUUAGUUGCCAUUGUAUGUAGGCUAAGCUCUUCUAACUCACCUAUUCCCUUCCAUCUAUCUCCCUUUUUCCACCUUCCCUUACAUCAGUCAGCAACUUGUUUCUAUGUAAAUACUUAUUUUCUGUAUAAUAAAAGAAAUAAUUUCA